rnacentral:rRNA from 1 species
AUUGAACGCUGGCGGCAUGCCUUACACAUGCAAGUCGAACGGCAGCACGGGAGCUUGCUCCUGGUGGCGAGUGGCGAACGGGUGAGUAAUACAUCGGAACGUACCCUGAAGUGGGGGAUAACGUAGCGAAAGUUACGCUAAUACCGCAUAUUCUGUGAGCAGGAAAGAGGGGGAUCGCAAGACCUCUUGCUUUAGGAGCGGCCGAUGUCGGAUUAGCUAGUUGGUGAGGUAAAGGCUCACCAAGGCGACGAUCCGUAGCGGGUCUGAGAGGAUGAUCCGCCACACUGGGACUGAGACACGGCCCAGACUCCUACGGGAGGCAGCAGUGGGGAAUUUUGGGACAAUGGGCGCAAGCCUGAUCCAGCCAUGCCGCGUGAGUGAAGAAGGCCUCGGUUGU